UCCCUAUCAUUCAUUACCAUCAUUCAUAAUCUCUCAGAUUUUCCCUUACAAAGUGUUGACCUAAGAAAGAAAGCCUUCUAAAAAUCAAUGAAAUUUAGACAUUAAUAACACAGUUUUGUUUUUUAAGCCCCAAAAAACAAGUUUACAAAUCUCCAAUAUUAUCGGUAACUGAUAAAUAAAUUCCAAAACCAUACAAUUUUGAACACUGUAUUACACCUUUUCAAAGAACAAGCAACAGCCUCAACCCCACCAAAACGCAACUCUAUAUUG
rnacentral:misc_RNA from 1 species